AUGGGGUCUCGCCAUGUCACCCACGCUGGUCUUGAACUCCUGGGCUCAAGCGAUCCUCCUGCCCCAGCCUUCCAAAGUACUGGGAUUACAGGUAUGGAACAGGCUGACAGAGCUGGAUCCAAAGGGCUCAGAAUGGAGCAACCAAGGUGUAUUCACCUGAUGCUUUGGUCUCCCUAAGCUCUUCCAUAGAAACGAUCAUAUAUCACCUCGGCAAUUGUUUUACGAUUUCUCACUGUGUUUCUCAGAAUGGUCUCAGACUCCUGGCCUCAAGCGAUCCUUCUGCCUGAGCCUCCCAAAGUGCCGGGAUUACAGGCAUGAACCACUGCACUCAGCCUGUUUUCAACCUUAUAUAAAUGGAAUCCUACUGUAUGUGCUUUUUGAUAUCUGGGCUCCUUUGCUCUAUAUUAUGUCUGUGAGAUUAAUAAACUUGUUUGUUCAGUUACGUUA